rnacentral:rRNA from 1 species
UAGGAAUAUUGGACAAUGGGCGCAAGCCUGAUCCAGCCAUGCCGCGUGAGUGAUGAAGGCCUUCGGGUUGUAAAGCUCUUUAGCCGACGAAUAUAAUGACUGUAGUCGGAGAAUAAGCCCCGGCUAACUUCGUGCCAGCAGCCGCGGUAAUACGAAGGGGGCGAGCGUUAUUCGGAAUCACUGGGCGUAAAGCGUGCGUAGGCUGUUUUGUAAGUCAGAAGUGAAAGCCCAGGGCUUAACCCUGGAAUUGCUUUUGAAACUACAAGACUUGAAUUCGGGAGAGGAUAGCGGAAUUGUCAGUGUAGCAGUGAAAUGCGUAGAUAUUGACAGGAACACCAGUGGCGAAAGCGGCUAUCUGGACCGACAUUGACGCUGAGGCACGAAAGCGUGGGGAGCAAAC